GCCAGGUGUGGUGGUGCAUGCCUGUCAUCCCAGCGGCUUGGGAGGCUGAGGCAGAGGGAUCGAGAGUUCAAAGCCAGUUUCAGCAACUCAAUGAGACACUGUCUCUA
rnacentral:sRNA from 1 species